AAUUACAGAAAUUUUUUUGGUCAAUACCCAAUUUUUUUACUUUUUUUUUAUGUCAUUAAAAACCUACCCUUUAUCCCCUUAAAAAAUAAAAAAAUAUUUAUAGAGGGGUACGCUAUGACAAAAUGACUAAAUUGUCCUUCAUCUUUUUCGAAAUAGGCCUGGACGGAGAGGUAAGCGAGGGUGAUGGUGAGGCAGUGGAGGCGGGCACGAACGUGUGUGUGGGUAUGAAUAGAAGGUGAGCGAGGGCGAGGCGGCGGAAGGCGAGGCGGCGUGGUCGAGAAUGAGGAAGGAUGAGGGUUUCAGAGAUAUGUUGAGUAUAAAAAAUAAGAUAUAAAAGGAACUCUAACAGAACACUGAAGGCGGGAUUUUUUUUUUAUGUUUUAAGAAGGCAAAGUGUAGAUUUUUGAAUGACAGGGAAGAAAGUAAAAAAUCUGGUAUUGAUAGGUCAUUUAGCAUUUUUUUUCAUUAUUUUGUUAUUUUUACCUCUCUUUUCUUUUUU
rnacentral:lncRNA from 1 species